rnacentral:rRNA from 1 species
CCUACGGGAGGCAGCAGUAGGGAAUCUUCCGCAAUGGACGAAAGUCUGACGGAGCAACGCCGCGUGAGUGAUGAAGGUUUUCGGAUCGUAAAGCUCUGUUGUUAGGGAAGAACAAGUACCGUUCGGAUAGGGCGGUGACCUUGACGGUACCUAACCAGAUAGCAACGGUUAACUACGUGCCAGCAGCCGCGGUAAUACGUAGGUGGCAAGCGUUGUCCGGAAUUAUUGGGCGUAAAGGGCUCGCUGGCGGUCUCUUAAGUCUGAUGUGAAAUGCCGCCGGCUCAACCGGGGAGGAUCAUCGGCAAACUGGGGAACUUGAGUGGAAGAGGAGAGUGGAAUUCCACGUGUAGCGGUGAAAUGCGUAGAGAUGUGGAGGAACACCAGUGGCGAAGGCGACUCUCUGGUGUGUAACUGACGCUGAGGAGCAAAAGCGUGGGGAGCGAACAGGAUUAGAUACCCUGGUAGUCCACGCCGUAAACGAUGAGUGCUAAGUGUUAGGGGGUUUCCGCCUGUUAGUGCUGCAGCUAACGCAUUAAGCACUCCGCCUGGGGAGUACGGUCGCAAGACUGAAACUUAAAGGAAUUGACGG